CCCUAAGGGAUCCUAACCAUGCGUGUCGAGUCGUCGCCUGAGAGUGCAUUACCAGGAGCGUAGCUCAUCCCACGUAGGCACAUCUGACGGCCCGGGGCUUUGGGACGACUGCGUUCUCCGGAGAGGGGUCUAUAGAAAAAGCUGCGUAACAAAAAAAGUUUCCGACGGGCCAAGCUCGAUACCUAGGACUUACCCCCUAGUACCUACAUUGGACCGAAGGAAAGCGCGGAAGCGGGGGACGAUUACUAUCUGGACAGGAAGCACACUCUUCCUCACCCUGACCCAGGAUCAACCCUUUUCUAUACGGGAGGCAGCGGGGUUGAAUAUUGCACAACGGGCGCAAGCCUGAUGCACCCCUGCCGCGUGUAUGAAGAAACCUUCGGGUUGUAAAUUACUUUCAGCGAGGAGGAAGGCGAUUUUUUAAUAACCGCUUUUUUUUUUUUUUUACUCGCAGAAGAGGGGGGGGGCUAUCUCCCUGCCCUUCAGCCGUGGUAAUACGGAGGGUGCAAGUGUUAAUCGGAAGGGGUGGGCGUAAAGCGCACGCAGGCGGUCUGUCAAGUCGGAUGUGAAACCCCCCGGCUCAACCCUGGGAACUG
rnacentral:rRNA from 1 species